rnacentral:rRNA from 1 species
GAUGAAUGCUGACAGAAUGCUUAACACAUGCAAGUCAACUUGAACUUCGGUUUGGGUGGCGGACGGGUGAGUAACGCGUAAAGAACUUGCCUCACAGAUAGGGACAACAUUUGGAAACGAAUGCUAAUACCUGAUAUUAUGAUUUUAGGGCAUCCUAGAAUUAUGAAAGCUAUAUGCGCUGUGAGAGAGCUUUGCGUCCCAUUAGCUAGUUGGAGAGGUAACGGCUCACCAAGGCGAUGAUGGGUAGCCGGCCUGAGAGGGUGAUCGGCCACAAGGGGACUGAGACACGGCCCUUACUCCUACGGGAGGCAGCAGUGGGGAAUAUUGGACAAUGGACCAAGAGUCUGAUCCAGCAAUUCUGUGUGCACGAUGAAGUUUUUCGGAAUGUAAAGUGCUUUCAGUUGGGAAGAAAAAAAUGACGGUACCAACAGAAGAAGUGACGGCUAAAUACGUGCCAGCAGCCGCGGUAAUACGUAUGUCACAAGCGUUAUCCGGAUUUAUUGGGCGUAAAGCGCGUCUAGGUGGUUAUGUAAGUCUGAUGUGAAAAUGCAGGGCUCAACUCUGUAUUGCGUUGGAAACUGUGUAACUAGAGUACUGGAGAGGUAAGCGGAACUACAAGUGUAGAGGUGAAAUUCGUAGAUAUUUGUAGGAAUGCCGAUGGGGAAGCCAGCUUACUGGACAGAUACUGACGCUGAAGCGCGAAAGCGUGGGUAGCAAACAGG